AUGACAGAAACUAGGGCGGCAAGAGUGGAACAAAACACCAGGCAUAAGGCCGAGCCUUCCACCCUUUACCAAGUAUAUAGAUGCAUUAAUAAUAUAAAAUAUAUUGUGAUAUCCCAACAAAUAAACAUGUUCCAACAAGGAACAACAACUCCAUGUUCCAACAAGGAACAAACUUCGUCUUCACCUGCAACUAACAACGCUAUAAGAGGGGCUGAGCAAAGCGGUAACAUAGCCAAACAAUGGUUUGCUAGGACAAGGUGGGUUAGAGGCUUGGUUAACAGUAUGGGAGGCAUGAUAAGCAAGUGGUAG
rnacentral:rRNA from 1 species